UUUCCAGACUCCUACGGGAGGCAGCAGUGGGGAAUCUUCCGCAAUGGGCGAAAGCCUGACGGAGCAACGCCGCGUGAUCGAAUGAAGGCCUUCGGGUUGUAAAGAUCUGUUGACAGGGACGAAUAAGCAAUGCGAAUAGUUUUGUGUAUGACGGUACCUGUUUAGAAAGCUCCGGCUAACUACGUACCAGCAGCCGCGGUAAUACGUAGGGGGCAAGCGUUAUCCGGAUUCACUGGGUGUAAAGGGAGCGUAGACGGCGGCGCAAGUCUGGAGUGAAAGCCCGGGGCCCAACCCCGGGACUGCUCUGGAAACUGCGGCGCUGGAGUACGGGAGGGGCAGGCGGAAUUCCUGGUGUAGCGGUGAAAUGCGUAGAUAUCAGGAGGAACACCGGCGGCGAAGGCGGCCUGCUGGACCGUGACUGACGUUGAGGCUCGAGAGCGUGGGGAGCAAACAGGAUUAGAUACCCGUGUAA
rnacentral:rRNA from 1 species